rfam:Tetranychus urticae London genomic scaffold, scaffold_1
AAAUACCUUUGCGGAGUUGAUUGGGCGAAUGGGUCUUAAACAAUCAACCAUCUGCCCAAUCGACUCCAAAAAAAGUAUUA